GAAUGCGGAGUGGGGCAGGACUUGCAUGCAGCAGCUGUGUGGGGUGGUGGAUAUGGCAGUGGUGGCCGCUGCAUGCGAGCUUCCCCCCACAGUGUCCACCCCCUCUGCCCCCUGUGUCCAGCCCUCUCUCUCCCUGCAGAGGGGAGCCACUACCCUGGCCCUCCUGCACCGGCCCUGCUCCUGGGAGGCAGCAGCGCAGGGUGGUAGAUGGCAGCGCUCCAUUCCCACCUGCCCGUGCAUAUCCCCUACCAGCUUUCCAGGUAACCCCUGCCUUACACUGUAUGCUGCUCAAAUGUUGAUCAGUGUUAGCACUAGCUCGAGUUUGGAGUAGUCACACUUCAGACCAGUAGGGGCCUAGAGACCUGAAAGGUAAGAAUCCACCUCUGCCCCCCAUUCUGGGCUUCCCCUUUGCCCCCCCAGGCCUCUCCCAGUUACCCCCGAUCCCUCACACUAGGACAAUCAACAUUUGCGGGGCUCAAAGUACAACAUGUAACAAGGCCCUAAUAUAAACUGGGUAACACAGAUCAGCAAUAAUUCUGCCCUUGAAUGGUAUAACUUUGAGCUGCUUAAGGAUUGCUUAAAACUAGUUUCACAUGUUAAUCAGUGGAGAAUCCAAGUGCUAAGAGCACCAAGAGCCACCAAAAAUUACCAUGUAACACCCUCAGCAGAGGAACAAAGACUCUCUGGUUUUGGUUAGUCAUAUCAAGCACUAUUAAAAGCCAGGUGCUCCUUACCAAUAUUACAGUGUAUCUAACUCUCAGAUUUUUUUUCAUGAGUUUCACUGUAUUUUUGGCUUUUUAUUCAAGUUCCUAAAAAUGAGAAUUUUCAGUGGAACCAUAGCUUUCAAAAAAAAUUUAAGUGGAACCCUUUGGUGGGAAAAUAAAGCUUGCAAAAAAUAUGAGCUCAAUGUGCCCUGAACGUGUAUAAUUUGGCAGAAAAGUAAAAAAGAACCUAACAUUAUUUCACACAAGCAUGUCCUGGUUCUUAAAACAAUCACGUGAUUUCAGGGGGCAUAACUCAUAUCAUUAGAAAUUUUAGGGUUAGAAAUACUGUCUACCUCACUCCUCAAAUUGUCUGAUUUAUUUCAUUGAGCAGCUCAAGAAAGUAGUAGGGUCAUUUUCAUUUUACAUAAGAGUCUCAUAAUCUGGCCCAUAUUACUAAAAACCAUAAGCAUUCCCACUGAAGUCAAAGAAAGUAGUACUGUGGAAUGUAGGGAUCUGUUCUGACUUAAAGAAAGAAAACUUAUUUUUCUGGUAUCUUGAGAAUCAGAGUUUAAAUUGCCUGUCUUGGAUUUUUUGCAGGGCAGAUGAGUGGAUUUAAAAUCCCCAAUUUGGGAUUCCCAAGGGACAUUCAGUUCAUCUUUGAGCUAAUCCAGUCAAUUCUUGUAAAUGUGGCAAUUUAGAAUGAAAUAGCACUGCUUUGUAGGAUAUUAUUACAGCCAGGUUACAAGCUUUCAAAUACAUUCUGUUUGGUAACUCAACUCUGCUCUGAAAUCCAGGAUUCUGCCAACUUUCUCUUGUGAGAAUAAGUAAUUUGCAUACAUUUUUUCAGAUCCAUUAAAACAAAAAUAAGCCAUUAUUCUGAACUGAAAAAUCAAAACAUGGGACAGAAUACUGUGGUCAUGGAGGAUGAGAGAUGCAGGGAAUACAAAAGUGUUUUGUAAUUAUUGACACUGUUAGCAUUGUUGAGACUUACUGGAAGUUACUGUUUCAGUACAGAUAAAUUCUAACCACAGUAAAUUAUGAGCAAAGUCACAUUUUUUAAAUACCAAGUACCUGAUUCUUUCAGACCCUACCCAAUAGUGCAGGGGUGCUCAGAAAUUUUGGGGACCAGAUCAUAGUAAUACUACAGAGAACAGCCUUUCAACUGCAUUUUACAUAAAUAACAGCCAGAACUUAUUGUUUAACUCUAUGCAAAAUUAACUCUCAGUCCAGUUCCUGUUGGCUGGAGGGCCUGUUUAAGCACACUUACAAUUAUCCUUCAUGUUACACCACAGACGCACAGAUUGGGGUCUUCUUUGACUGAAUGCUGAGAUUAGGAAAGACUGAGAAACCUUCUGACCUCUAAAAUAAAUUCCUCUAGAAUAGGACUGUGAGUUGAGAUAGCAGCAACUGACUGAAGCAGCAGCUGUAAGGAGGCAGUACUAUAUCUCAGUACUCUAAGAUUGGGGGUUUAAUUAUGUGUUUUUCUUCUCUCCAGCUUUUUCAGUACCCCUGCCCUUCUCCCUUACAGAGCUCGAGUACUUGAAUUUCUCAACAAAUACAUUUUCAAAUUACUAUGUUUUUUUCCAUAAUCAGAUUUGAUGCACGGUAUUUGGCCUCAAACUGAAGAAUUAUCUUUUCAGGACUCGCACGUGUUUUUUAGGUGCAAGGUACCAUAAGGCUCUUUCUCCAGUAUGGCCAUGAAUACGUAAAAAGCUCACCUACACUUUUUGAUAAAGAUUUACAAUACAAUCCCAGCUGGAUACAGUAGCUGUCUAUUUCAUCUCCUAAACAGCUGUGCAGUGUUACAAUGUACUGUUCAAUGACAGUAGAACUGGGUCUAAAGUGAAUAGCAAAACUCCAUUGAAUCCGGUGUAGAUUCCUAAGAAAGGUGCUGAAGAUGCAGCAGCAAAGUGAUAAGGAAAGAUACGUGUGUGUAAUAUGUGUAUGUGUUUAUGUGUGUAAUAUAAUAUGACCAUGUAUAGACCCAUACACAUGAAUCCAAAUAUUUUUUAUAAAGUAUGCGUGUGUAGAUACAUGUUAUGGUAGUGUAAAAGUGAUGUUGUAGCCGUGAUGGUCCAGGAAUGAUGUGAAAGGCAAGGAUUUCUCAGGGUGAUAUCUUUUAUUGGACCAAUUACAUAGUUGGGGUAGAGUUAGACACGCUUUCAAAUGCAAGAUAUUCUUCAUCAGGUGACCUGAUACAUACACACAUACAUGCAUACACACACAUAGUCUUUAUAAAAAUGAUUUGAGAUGCUUCAGAUGCUAAAAGACCUUUAUAAAUAUAAAAUGUUAUGAAUGAGUUCCUAUACCAUGUUAAUGGAUAUGGUAAAAUAAUAAAGUUCAGUUAAAUUUCUUCUGUUUAAAUUGUGAAUAUUCUGUACAUAUGCUACAAUUCAAAAUGCAUACUGUGUAUAUAACUCAUACUGCCAAUGUUGUAAGAUGAUAUAGAUCAUAUUUUUGCCUUAUGAAAAUGUAGUGAGAUAUGAAAUAAGCUUCAUGUAGGAUGUGCUUUAGUCCCUACUUUUUCAUAUCUCAGUGGAAUUUUAUUAUAACCUGUUCCACGAUAUAUUUCUUGUGUGCCAGAAGUUAAGCUGUGAGGUAUAUACAAGAUCAGAUGCCAUAUCAUUGAGAUACUACUAAGUUCUGUCUCAUAAGCAGGGCUAUUAAGUCUGCCCAUCACAUUCCAUUAUAAGACCCUGAUUUCCACUGAAUGCAAUGUUUGGGCAAAUUUCGUUGAAAUGCCAUGUUAUAAAUGUUUGAAAAAUUGCAGUUUAUAUGUGCUCUUUAGAGACUUGCUGAGUUUCACACCUACGGAAGAGCCUAUUUGUAUCACUAUGUUCUAACUCAGGGCUAGAACUGGAAUUCAAAGGUGCUUCAAACUAAGCUGGGUUCACCACAGGGUUUGGAGAACAAAACUGAUGGCAAAACUUUUUUCUGGGAUCUGAGGAACUGCUUCCCUUCAUGUCCCCACCCUCACCAGUCCCUGUCAAGAGGAACCUUCAUCUUAUUUUAAUGCAGAAGGAACAAGAGCCAGCCAUGGAGGUAGUGGAUGAAAAAAGUGGACUGAGGCAAGGAGAUAGAGUUGGAAUCUGUCAAUGAGUAAGAGAGACUAGUUGAGACCAGGAGCUGAGUGAGGAAGAUGCAGGAGACUAGGAACCAUUGAGUUAAGCAGGUGAGGGGAUUCAGGUUGACUGAGAAGCCAGUGGUAGAAACUGGGACAGACUAAAUAAGAAGUCAGGAUUAGUGAAUCAAAAUCACUGGGGGAUCUAGUGAGGAAAUGGAAGACCAAGCCAUUGAGAGAUAGGGCAUGUGUGAGACAAACUGGGACUGGCUGAGCAAGGAGAUUGUGGAAAGAAGUUAAGAUAGGACUCAGAAAUUGGAUGAGAAGGCAGGGAGAGAGAUGAAACUAGGAACCAGUGAGAUUACUGAAUGUAACUGAAGGACUAGAGAGAAAAGAAAGCAAAUCAGACCUGUAAGGUGUCACAACCAAAUUAAUCAGUGCCCAUGUCAUUAACAAGUGAUGCACACAGCAGUCAAUUAAGGGUUAAAGAAAUCUCUGUCCAGAAGUUCCUAAGAAAAAAAAAAUCCAAGCAAGAAACUUAAAUUUAUGCCCACAUCACAACCAAGAAACGAAACUUAGGCGUGAUUUAUGAUUGGUCAGAGUAAAAGGGGAUAGCCCUGUCAUAAAUCCCUGCAAUUGGUCAAGAAGCAAGCUCAGACCCCUCUCACGUAUCAGACAGAAAACCUGACCCACUACCUUGUAACCUGAUAGCAACCUGAGAGCACAAAGAACUGCUGCUUGCCAGAUAAUUAAAGAUUCUACAUAGCAGUCCAUCAUUGGACACCUCCGUUAGUUACCUCUGUCUAUAAAUAGUUUAACAACUUCCGCCUAAAUCGAAGACCUCUGAACACAAGCAUCAGAGUAAAUUGGUGACUUGAUGAAUCAUCAAUCUCUUCCCGUCAACGCGGCUCCUGGACAUACCCCCAACCCUCCUGCAGGCCCGUGCAGUCGUUUACAGUAUCUCGUUCGUCAUAUUCACGGUCGAUUAUAAUCUAAGACACGCUCGAAUGUAAACAAUGCAAGUCUUCUGCCUGCAUCGUACUUCACUAUCUGGGCGACCUCGGGACCCUCUUGAUUUACACAAUCAAAACAAUGCUUUGAAGUGGCUGGACUAAGGGUAUAAGAAAGCUGUAAAGCAGCAGUGUGCUUCAAGAGGGAGAAAUCUCUCUGACACUGUCCACUAUUGUUCUCGAGAAGCUGGGAUAAACAGAUCGUCUCUUUUGGUCGAACCUUCAACGAUCGUGCUAGGAACUUUACCUGUCAACAAAACACCCGAGUGCCUUGGAACGUGAUCUCAUGCAAUACCAUCAAAGAAGGAGGUGAUGUUCCAGAGAAUUGGCUCUCAAAAGCACCAGAGGGACAAGAACCAGGCUAAAGGCCUCUAACAGCACUCGCUGCAAACCAGAGAAACACUCACCCUGAGGAUCAGAACACCCAGGGAUCAGAAUGUCCAAAGGAUAGAGCAGAAGGACAUGUUUAUACUGCCUGCAGAAAGUGUUACUUCAGGUACUGAUUUGCAAGACAUCACUGCUGAACCUGCUAAAGCAAAUGAGUCUUCUGCCAUUUCAAGGAACAUUAUUUUUGAAGAAAACAGACAUAAAAUUGAAUACCAUCCCAAUAACUGAGAAUGUGUUCUCACUAAAUGACGGAAAGUUUGAAGAUCUUUGAAGGAACCAUGGCAAAGAUUAUCACCACUUAGUCUACUGAAGUGGAUUUGUCAAAUGAAUAUGUAGUAGGUACAAAGUCAGUGUUGUUUGGAAGGCCAACAGUAGGCUUGGAUGGACAGUCUAGGAUAUAGUCAUUUAAAAGCUAUCUAAAGUAGGUCUUGUUCCACAUCAUUGACACCACUUUGUCAGAGCUGAACAGCAGGCUCAGUGAACAAUUGAGAACAUUGGUGAGAACGCUCACAUCUCUCAUGGCUCCCUUUGAUGCCUGGAUCAGAUUCUCUCUUGGACGAGCAGACUCUAACACCUCUUCUGAAAUCAGCUCCAACUGAUGAUGAGCUACAUCUGGCCUGUGAAAUGAAAAUAGCAAAACCUUUGAUUGAGUCCAAGAUAAGUGGAUCUUCAUCAUCUGCUCAGUCAACUUUUGCCAAGAUGAAUGAUACUAUGUCAGUAUUCUAAUAAUUUCUGAGGUGGAUUCGCCCCUUUUGCAGCAUUUUCUUCUUAUACAUAGUCAAUGAAAAUAUUUAUUUCAGUGUGAAAGAAUGUUUUUGGGUAUUCAUUAUUAUUUGUUAGUGCUUUAUUAAGCAAAUCGAAAAUUAGACUACUAGACUUCGAGAUGGAAAUCACCUGAUUUGUCAUAAUAAAAGAAUGGCUACUAAUAUUAAAAUAGUGAUCAACCAAAAUUAAAUUACAGUGAUUCAUUUUGUUAUAUCAUUUACAUCCUGGGGGGGGGGGGUGCUCUAAAUUGCUAUUAUGUUGUACACCACUUCAGUAUUCAUUCAGGAAAAAAAAAAAACUUUGUUGAUGGACAAUAAUUCUUGACGUUCAGAAUAAACAAGUGCUCCUUGAAUGGUUAUUUUUACCAACAGCAAAACAAAAAGUU